GUAAAUCAAGCCUCACUGAAGAGUAAGUGGAAACAAAAAAAUAGUAACUUACAAUAUUGUUAUUCUAUUCACAUUAAAUACAAAGUCAGUCGUAUUAAAAAUAUAUUAAUACACGGCUUGGUCAGUCGCGACAUUCCAAGGUAUGUUAUCUCUGGAUAACAGCCGGUAAAAGCUAAUAACACAGGCUCAUCCGGGUAACAGCAGUCGGCGCUGUACUCUAGCUUGAACUAUUUUUUUCUUGGUGGAAGCUUUGCGUUUGUUUAGCUAAUAAAAUAUUGAAACUCAAUUCAAAAUGGUGUACAAUUGUUUAAUUAUGUCAUCCUGGUAUCGCGGACUUGUUUCAUACAAACGCAGCUGCUGCCAUUUUGCUACGAUUGUUUUGUACGCUCUAAUGGAUUAUAAGAUAACUAACAAACUGGUUCCCAUUGUGUCCGAAUGCAUCGUCGUCCCGCCUUCCAAACUGAAAGUCCAAAAGGGUGAACUCCAAAAGCAAAUGACAUCAACCCCUCUCCUGAUCGACAGUGCAAGCAAGCUCGGACAUUCCUGGUCUUCUUCUCACCGAGCACCCUUCUCUGCUUCCAAGUCAC
ensembl:lncRNA